rnacentral:rRNA from 1 species
GAUGAACGCUGGCGGCGUGCCUAAUACAUGCAAGUCGAGCGAACAGACGAGGAGCUUGCUCCUCUGACGUUAGCGGCGGACGGGUGAGUAACACGUGGAUAACCUACCUAUAAGACUGGGAUAACUUCGGGAAACCGGAGCUAAUACCGGAUAAUAUGUUGAAUCGCAUGGUUCAACAGUGAAAGACGGUCUUGCUGUCACUUAUAGAUGGAUCCGCGCCGCAUUAGCUAGUUGGUAAGGUAACGGCUUACCAAGGCAACGAUGCGUAGCCGACCUGAGAGGGUGAUCGGCCACACUGGAACUGAGACACGGUCCAGACUCCUACGGGAGGCAGCAGUAGGGAAUCUUCCGCAAUGGGCGAAAGCCUGACGGAGCAACGCCGCGUGAGUGAAGAAGGUCUUCGGAUCGUAAAACUCUGUUAUUAGGGAAGAACAAAUGUGUAAGUAACUAUGCACGUCUUGACGGUACCUAAUCAGAAAGCCACGGCUAACUACG